rnacentral:rRNA from 1 species
GACGAACGCUGGCGGCGUGCUUAACACAUGCAAGUCGAACGGGAAGGCCCUGCUUUUGUGGGGUGCUCGAGUGGCGAACGGGUGAGUAACACGUGAGUAACCUGCCCUGGACUUUGGGAUAACUUCAGGAAACUGGGGCUAAUACCGGAUAGGAGCUCCUGCUGCAUGGUGGGGGUUGGAAAGUUUCGGCGGGUGGGGAUGGAAUCGCGUCUUAUCAGCUUGUUGGUGGGGUAGUGGCUUACCAAGGCUUUGACGGGUAGCAGGCCUGAGAGGGUGACCGGCCACAUUGGGACUGAGAUACGGCCCAGACUCCUACGGGAGGCAGCAGUGGGGAAUAUUGCACAAUGGGAGGAAGCCUGAUGCAGUAACGCCGCGUGCGGGAUGACGGCAUUCGGGUUGUAAACCGCUUUCGCCUGUGACGAAGCGUGAGUGACGGUAAUGGGUAAAGAAGCACCGGCUAACUACGUG